UACGAAGGGUGCAAGCGUUAAUCGGAAUUACUGGGCGUAAAGCGUGCGUAGGCGGUUUCUUAAGUCCGUUGUGAAAGCCCUGGGCUCAACCUGGGAACUGCGAUGGAUACUGAGGAGCUGGAGUACGGUAGAGGAAGGUGGAAUUCCACGUGUAGCGGUGAAAUGCGUAGAUAUGUGGAGGAAUACCGAUGGCGAAGGCAGCCUCCUGGGCCAACACUGACGCUCAUGCACGAAAGCGUGGGGAGCAAACAGG
rnacentral:rRNA from 1 species